CUUCUCCCGAGUUCCCCGUCUGUCCUUGGGCACAUGGACCCUGACCCGUCCUCUUAUGGAGCCCAUCUCUUCGCCUCGGUGACUCAAAAAGGUCUCAAACUGCUCGGAUGCACCGGGUACAAAAACAAUGACGGCACCUGUUUUGGAGCCGAGCUGUGAUGUCACUCCCACUUGGAACGUGGCAAAAACAGGCGAGUGAUCACUUGUGAAGAUGUCAUCGGUGCAACCUGAUCUUACCAUAUGCAGUGCAGAUGAUGUGUGUCUCUGGAGGUCAGGUGGCAGUUAACAAACCCAAAAGAUGUUCCGCUGAAGAGGAAGGAGACACCGACAGCUCCCUUGUUUCCUGAAACAACAGAAACACUCAACCUCAAACCUCCAGGGUUUUCCUGAGUCCCCAAGGCGUAGAUGUCAUGAGGGAGCAAGGCGGUCGAGUUGUCAGGGGUGUGCCCCAAACCGCAGCAGGUCACCCACGUCUGCAGGCUUCGAGGAGGAGGGGAACCACCUGUGUACACAAAAUAACACAACAACUAAUAAGAAAAACUUCUCCCUCUAAUUCAAUUUCUGUUGCCUGACAGUGGAAGAGACAUCUAUGGUUACCCAUGUUCCAGGUGCCAACAAACACAGAGAUCACGUCAGAUUCACUCAGCUGAGAGUGCCUGGUUUUCAUCAGCUGGAGGAGUUGGCAGAAGGCAUCGCGUUUCUGAAAGAGAUGAGAGCCACGCGGUGAAUCAUGGGAAAGAAAACAGUGGAUACCAGUCAAUAAUAAAGCCAUUAUUCCUCGCUAAAUUACUACUUUCCUUACCCGUGCACUCUCAAACGUCAUCUCGCGUGGUGUGUUGUGGUGGCUGUCGACCACCAUGCGUACUUUGGCCGAACUGCUCUGGAACUUGACAAUCUGAAGGACUGAUACACAAGAAACAUGCCAGCAGACAAUUAUACAACAUAACUGCAAGCAAGAGAAGUGUUACUGGCUCUGGUUCUUACUUCUGUCGUGCGAGACCCUCUCGAUACCAAAUGAACCAGCCUUCCUGUCAAAGAGCAGCACUCCUGUGUCCACAUCCACAGAAACAGUCUGUCUGCCAUACCUCACCAUCUUUACCUGGACGCACCAAGAAAGACAACCGUUAAUACAUUUACAUAGUCAGAAAAUUGUGAAAGAAAGGUCCAUCUCAGUUUCUUAAAGUCCAAGUCUUUAAAUGUUUUGUUUUGUCAGUCCAAAACUCAAAGAUAUUCAGUUUAAAAUGAUAUAAAAUAGAGAAAAACAGGACAUCUCCAUAUUUGAGAGGCUGGAAACAGCAUUUUCUGCCAUUUGUGCAUGAAAACUUACUUGAACGAUAAUAUUUGGUGUUUAGUCGAGUUAUCGUUGCAGCUCUAGUCAGAUCAGUUGUAUGAUUUGUCUUAUUGCAAGUCAUAUUUGAUAAAAAGUUACUUUUUCAACCUGAUUUACCUGAAAGGAGUGGACUGGCAGCUGUCUGGCAUGGUUCUUGACAGGUGUUACGAUGAUGGGUGUUGGUUCCGGAGGGGGAAGGCUUGGCUGCACUGCCAGAUUGUGAUUUGUCACCGCAUCUUGCAAUGCUUUUAACACCUUUAUGAGCGGAGAAUCUGCAGUGUUACAAUCUGACCAGUGUUGUCCAUCACAAACAAGAUUUCAUUCUGUCAUUGUGAAAGCAUCAUCAAUAACCACUGCCACUAAAAGUUACAAAGCUGUGAGCAAUAGUAUUGCCAGAAAUCACUGCAUUAUCACUCAUGCAUCCUGCCAUUAUCAUGACAAGCUGUAAAAACCUUGUGUAGUUUCCCAAGCAUACCUUUUUCUCCAAUGAAGACAGAAGGCUGACCAAAGCUGAAAUCUUACACAACAGACUGUCCAUCUCCAUCUCUUGGCCCUUGUUCCAAAAACACAAAACAUAAAGGUGCAAUGAGUUGAUGUAUAUGAGUGUAUAAUAAAGCA